rnacentral:rRNA from 1 species
GUGAGGAAUAUUGGUCAAUGGGCGAGAGCCUGAACCAGCCAAGUAGCGUGAAGGAUGAAGGUCCUACGGAUUGUAAACUUCUUUUAUAAGGGAAUAAAACGCUCCACGUGUGGAGCCUUGUAUGUACCUUAUGAAUAAGCAUCGGCUAACUCCGUGCCAGCAGCCGCGGUAAUACGGAGGAUGCGAGCGUUAUCCGGAUUUAUUGGGUUUAAAGGGAGCGCAGACGGGAUGUUAAGUCAGCUGUGAAAGUUUGCGGCUCAACCGUAAAAUUGCAGUUGAUACUGGCGUUCUUGAGUGCAGUUGAGGUGUGCGGAAUUCGUGGUGUAGCGGUGAAAUGCUUAGAUAUCACGAAGAACUCCGAUUGCGAAGGCAGCUCACUAAACUGUAACUGACGUUCAUGCUCGAAAGUGUGGGUAUCAAACAGGAUUAGAAACCCCAGUAGUCC